rnacentral:rRNA from 1 species
CCUACGGGAGGCAGCAGUGAGGAAUAUUGGUCAAUGGGCGGAAGCCUGAACCAGCCAAGUCGCGUGAGGGAAUAUGGCCCUACGGGUCGUAAACCUCUUUUGCCGGGGAGCAAGGGCAGGGACGAGUCCCGGUCAGGAGAGUACUUGGAGAAAAAGCAUCGGCAAACUCCGUGCCAGCAGCAGCGGUAAGACGGUGGACGCGACCGUCAUCCGGAUUGAUUGGGUUGAAUGGGUGCUUAGGCGGGCUUUUAAGCCGGCGGUAAAAAUUCGGGUCUCAAACCGGUCCGGCCGUUGAAACUGGCGGCCUUGAGUAGACGAGAGGAAGGCAGAAUGCGUGGUGUAGCGGUGAAAUGCAUAGAUAUCACGCAGAACCCCGAUUGCGAAGGCAGCCUUCCGGCGCCCGACUGACGCUGAGGCACGAAAGUGCGGGGAUCGAACAGGAUUAGAUACCCUAGUAGUC